UACGAACUGUGCGAACGUUAUUCGGAAUCACGUGGGCUUACAGGGUGCGUAGGCGGCUUGUCAAGUAGGGUGUGAAAGCCCCCGGCUCAACCGGGGAAUUGCGCCCUAAACUGGCGAGCUGGAGUGAGGAUAGGGGUGUGUGGAACUUCCGGGUGGAGCGGUGGAAAUGUGUUGAGUAUCGGAAGGAACGCCGGUGGCGAAAGCGACACAGCUGGAGUCUUGUCGUGACGCUGGAGGCACGAAACGCCAGGGGAGCGAAGCGGG
rnacentral:rRNA from 1 species